UUAAACCUUGAUCCUUUGUUAUAUUAAUUA
rnacentral:piRNA from 1 species